AUUUAUUUUUUUUCAACUCCGGCAAAUCAAAUAUUACAAAGUAUAAAAUUUUUUCCACCAAAUUAUUUUUUUACAAAAAAUUAUUUUUCAUAAUUUUACGUGCAACCAAACACCCUCUCAACUAUCUUACAUUUAGCUUUGACAAUCUAAUCAUUAAAAAAUUUAAUUUUAUUACCUAACUUUUUUAUUUGUAGCUUUUUAACUUUAAAAUUUGAAUACAUCGUUUAUCUUUACAGAUUUAAUUAUUAUAUUUUAUGCGAUUUACGUAAUUAUAAAUUAAUUAAAAUAAGAAAUUUAGUUUAAAUUUUGUACGAAGAGCUAGUAAAUUAUUUAAAUUAAAUAAAUUGAAAGAUUAGAUGCGAAACUAAAAUUUUGAAAGGUUAAAUAGCUAGUUAAAAUAGUCUAUAGUUCAAAUAAGUAUUAUACAUUUUUACCAAAUUUUUUAAUAAAGCGACACCUACUGCCCUAAAUAGAUAUCUAAAUUACAA
rnacentral:lncRNA from 1 species